CUAUGGGACGCUGCAGUGGGGAAUAUUGCGCAAUGGGGGAAACCCUGACGCAGUGACGCCGUGUGAGUGAUGAAGGUUUUCGGAUCGUAAAGCUCUGUCAGACGGGAAGAAUAAGAACAGUAAAAAUAUUGCUGUUUGAUGACGGUACCGUCAGAGGAAGCACCGGCUAGCUCCGUGCCAGCAGCCGCGGUAAUACGGAGGGUGCAAACGUUGUUCGGAAUUACUGGGCGUAAAGCGCAUGUAGGCGGAUAUGUAGGUCAGAUGUGAAAUCCCUUGGCUCAACCAAGGAAGUGCAUCUGAAACACCAUAUCUUGAGUACGAGAGAGGGAAGUGGAAUUCCCAGUGUAGAGGUGAAAUUCAUAGAUAUUGGGAAGAACACCGGUGGCGAAGGCGGCUUUCUGGCUCGUAACUGACGCUGAGAUGCGAAAGCGUGGGGAGCAAACAGGAUUAGAUACCCCGGUAGUC
rnacentral:rRNA from 1 species